GGUGAACGCUGGCGGCGUGCUUAACACAUGCCAGUCGAACGGAAAGGCUCCUGCUUGCAGGGGUACUCGAGUGGCGAACGGGUGAGUAACACGUGGGUGAUCUGCCCUGCACUUCGGGAUAAGCCUGGGAAACUGGGUCUAAUACCGGAUAGGACGAUGGUUUGGAUGCCAUUGUGGAAAGUUUUUUCGGUGUGGGAUGAGCUCGCGGCCUAUCAGCUUGUUGGUGGGGUAAUGGCCUACCAAGGCGUCGACGGGUAGCCGGCCUGAGAGGGUGUACGGCCACAUUGGGACUGAGAUACGGCCCAGACUCCUACGGGAGGCAGCAGUGGGGAAUAUUGCACAAUGGGCGCAAGCCUGAUGCAGCGACGCCGCGUGGGGGAUGACGGCCUUCGGGUUGUAAACUCCUUUCGCUAGGGACGAAGCGCAAGUGACGGUACCUGGAGAAGAAGCACCGGCUAACUACGUG
rnacentral:rRNA from 1 species